CAAUAGCGUAUAUUAAAGCUGUUGCGGUUAAAAAGCUCGUAGUUGGAUUUCUGUCAAGGACAACUGGUCCGCCCUUCGGGUGAGCACAUAGUUUGGUCUUGGCAUCUUGUUGGAAACUGUUGCUGUACUUGGUUGUGUGGCGCAGCGUCCAGCACUUUCACUUUGAGGAAAUUGGAGUGUUUCAAGCAGGCACAUGCCUUUGGACACAGUAGCAUGGAAUAAUUAGAUUGGGCUUUUGCUCCAACUUGUCGGUUUCUGGAGCUGAGGUGAGAAUUAAUGGGGAUUGUUGGGGGCAUCCGAAUUUAGCCGUCAGAGGUGAAAUUCUUGGAUCUGCUAAAGACGGACAACUGCGAAAGCGUUUGCCCAGGAUGUUUUCAUUGA
rnacentral:rRNA from 1 species